UCUGAGUUAGGGUCCGUUUGGGCAAACAGAUCUUCUGCAGCAGUCAAAACUCCGGGUUCAGCCUUGAAAAAUGAAUCUGUCUGGUCAGACGGAGCAAUUGCUGAGUCCACCAGACCAUGCAGCUUCCUCGCCCUUGCCUUAUUUCUCAAUUUCUUCGCGGUCUUCUCGAUCUCAAAGUCGUAGAGGAGAGUCGGCUUGGAAGAUCUGCUCAUAAACAACGAAAAAAGAAANAAAAAUCAAUAGGAAAAAGAAAUCAAUUAACACCGUUCCCUGGCAACGGCGCCAAUUUGGUGGACAUCGUCUACCACCAAAUAAUUCCUGCGAUAGCUAAGAAUUAGUAUAGUAUAGUAACAAGCAGAG
rnacentral:lncRNA from 1 species